UACGAAGGGGGCUAGGCGUUGCUCGGAAUCACUGGGCGUAAAGCGCACGUAGGCGGAUUGUUAAGUCAGGGGUGAAAUCCUGGAGCUCAACUCCAGAACUGCCUUUGAUACUGGCGAUCUUGAGUCCGGGAGAGGUGAGUGGAACUCCGAGUGUAGAGGUGAAAUUCGUAGAUAUUCGGAAGAACACCAGUGGCGAAGGCGACUUACUGGGCACAUAUUGACGCUGAGGUGCGAAAGCGUGGGGAGCAAACAGGG
rnacentral:rRNA from 1 species